AGUGAACGCUGGCGGUAGGCCUAACACAUGCAAGUCGAACGAGUGGCGGACGGGUGAGGAAUACAUCGGAAUCUACUCUGUCGAGGGGGAUAACGUAGGGAAACUUAAGCUAAUACCGCAUACGAUUGAAUGAGCCGCAGUCGGAUUAGCUAGUUGGAGGGGUAAAGGCCCACCAAGGCGACGAUCCGUAGAUGGUGUUAGAGGAUGAGCAGCCACACUGGAACUGAGACACGGUCCUGACUCCUACGGGAGGCAGCAGUGGGGAAUAUUGGCCAAUGGGCGCAAGCCUGACCCAGCCAUCCCGCGUGUGUGAAGAAGGCCUUCGGGUUGUAAAGCCCUUUUGUUGGGAAAGCGGUACCCAAAGAAUAAGCACCGGCUAACUUCGUGCCAGCAGCCGCGGUAAUAC
rnacentral:rRNA from 1 species